GCCGUUCUCAGUUCGGAUCGGAGUCUGCAACCCGACUCCGUGAAGCUGGAUUCGCUAGUAAUCGCGCAUCAGCCAUGGCGCGGUGAAUACGCUCCCGGGCCUUGUACACACCGCCCGUCAAGCCAUGGGAGCCGGGGGUGCUUGAAGUGCGUCGCCGUGAGGCGCGCCCUAGAGCAAAACCGGUGACUGGGGCUAAGUCGUAACAAGGUAUC
rnacentral:rRNA from 1 species